AUGUACCCAGUGUCUUGGGCUCUGGUGGAGAAAGAAACUAAUGAUAGCUGGAAGUGGUUUAUUGCUCUGUUAAUCAAAGACAUGGAUAUUAAUGACCAAGGAGCAGGUUGGGUUUUCAUUUCUGAUCAGCAGAAGGUAAUUCUUUACUUAAUUGCUUUACUGAAAUGGAUAUCUUAUUUAGCAAAUAUGUAG
rnacentral:rRNA from 1 species